CCUAUGGCCUUCUUGCUUCCCCCGCUCUCUGUGUCUUUCAACCACCCACCAUGUACAUGCAUAUAUAUAUAUGUGUGUGUGUGUGUGUGUGUGUGUGUGUGUCUCAUCAAAACUCUGCCGUUAAGGUUUAUAUGUAUCUGUGAAGAAUUUCAUGGAAGCCCGGCACCCUCCUGAGAAGCUGUGGAGCUCGUGAUCACGAGGUUCCUUCAAGUCGAUCUAUUCUGGCCACGAGAUGCUUCCAUUGGUUUUUUAUAUGAAGGUAAGUUCACCAACUCCUCCAUGAUUCGUGGUCCUUGAGCCUCGGUUUCUGUUGAUAUAUAUCUAAGAUGAGUAAAACCUUUCUCUGAGCGAGCAGUUUCUCUCCCUUCCAUUAUUAAGCUACUCUUAGUACAAUAACUCCACCAAUUAAGAACGCAUCAGUUUCCCUUGCUUUCUAUGCCAUUUCGGGUAUUAUAAAUUCGAGAUAUGAGAUUUUUAACUCGUGACCAGAAUAUAAUUUGAAAUCAUAGAGCUCAUUUUAUCAAGCUUAUCUCUCUUAAUUCUAUUUAUGGUUCGUAUAUUUGCCUUUGCCCCUAUUCCCUCGUGUUGUUUCUUGUUUUGCAUGUUACCUCGAGCCUUGAAGUGAAAGAUGAAAAUUGGAGAGACAAAAACAUAGUAGGCCGAUGCCGGUGGGGCUUGAAGACGAUGUGGAGACUUACCUAGGCUUAGGUUGAGUCCCGACUUGAAGGCCGCCUCGGUCCACGGCAGUUAGGGAUCUUCCGAGCUAGCUCAUCAUAAGAAUCUCUUAUAAAUCUCCACCUUUAUAUGCGAGUUUUAUUGCUCGUUUUUUUUUCUUUGCUGUGGAAUAUGUAUUUUUUAAGGUCAUAUGCACCCAUGGAUUGCAUCAGGUCGAAACUGCAGAGUUAUUUAGAUAGUACGUAAGGCCAUGAAACCGGCUGAAAGAAAAUUGGACUGGCGUGCAUUUGAGGAUAGAAAGCAUUGGGCCAAAAUCAUUCAUCUGGUUGUUAUGCACUAGAUACUGACGGAACACACCCUAUGUAGCUCUAUUGCUCUAGAAGAAACUAUGUAUGGAAGGUCUCGAUAAACGUGCAAUCGAUAGGGUAUUCAGGAAGAAUUGAUGGAAAGUGUGGGGGAUUUACAUAAGGCAAAACCUGGGUAUUGCAGAUUUUUUUUUUUUUUUCGGUGAUAAGGGUAUCGCAGAUUUAAUCCUACCCUCGGAAGAUCCGGGUUAUCUGCACAUCCCCACUGCGAGAAAUCCAACAGCUAAACACACUAUUGAUGUUUUGAACCAGUUGUGAUGAUAGAAAUCGGCUCAUUGGCGGUUCUUGUCACCAGGGAAAGGUUCCGGAGAUGACUCUUCGACUCUUUGGUUACUGCAAAUAGGAGAUUAGGCAGCCCUGUCAAGCUACACAAAGCAGGAAGUACCGAGAAGAUUUGCUUCAUUUUCCAUGAAUGGGUCAUAUCUCACGUAAAGUUCAUCCGCUAGAGUCGGACCGGCUGUACCUGAGCUCUUCGCAAGAUUGAGCAGUGAAAGUGAAGCCAACACUCUCUCCUCCGGUGCUCUAUCAUAGUUUAUCGAUUCGAGCAUUUGAGGGACGAAUAUUGAGCAUGCUGUAGACUUUAAAUCCUUAUCUUCCAUGCAGGGGAGGAAACCGCUCAACCACGACAGCGUGACUAAGCUUAGCCCGAGCAAGUACUGGAAUUCCAUUGUCUAUAGAAGAAGAGAGGGCAGUCAAAAACCUCUUGUGACCACUUCUGAGCAGCCCGGUUGCCGUCCUUCCGAGCCAUCUUUUGCUUUCCUCCUCUUUCCCUUCACUGUGAAUACCACAUUGUGAAACCUAAGCUACGAGCAUAAUAAAGAAUAACUGAGGCAGAUGCUACCAGUUUUCUGCGUUCUUGGCUACACUAAGUGGCCUUACCAAGUGGGUGCCUUUUCAUGGACCGAGUCUUUUCUAUGAAAUGCGUCCCCUGAAUACUCGCGGAAACCCGACUGUUGGAGAAGCCAUUGCUCAGCAGAUGCUUCUCCUUUACUCGUGAAAUGGCCUGCCAAUACCUUCUUCUUAUGUGGAGCUCCUUGACUGUAAUUGGCAAGCGGAGAUUCACCAUACUUAAAGAGAGGGUAAUACAUGCACAGAUUCAUAGGCAGGAGAGCUCUAUCGUUUCCUUUAGGUUUUUAUAUCUACAUAUAGGUUAUUAAGAUAGACUUCCCAGGUAACGAGAAACCUCCGUUCGUGCGAUGAUAGCAUUCCACGUAGGAUUCUCAACCAUUUUCUUACCUCAUAGUUUAUCAUCUCUUCACAUGCCCUACUUUAAUGUGAUGCAUGAAUAAUAAACGAUAAAUUUUAUCUUUG